rnacentral:rRNA from 1 species
UACAGAGGUGGCAAGCGUUGUUCGGAAUUACUGGGCGUAAAGGGCGUGUAGGCGGUCUUCUAAGUCAGACGUGAAAUCCCCCGGCUUAACCUGGGAACUGCGUCUGAUACUGGGAGGCUUGAGUAUGGGAGAGGGAUGUAGAAUUCCAGGUGUAGCGGUGAAAUGCGUAGAUAUCUGGAGGAAUACCGGUGGCGAAGGCGGCAUCCUGGACCAUAACUGACGCUUAAGCGCGAAAGCUAGGGGAGCAAACGGG